rnacentral:rRNA from 1 species
GUUGACCUCGGAUCAGGUAGGGAUACCCGCUGAACUUAAGCAUAUCAAUAAGCGGAGGAAAAGAAACCAACAGGGAUUGCCCUAGUAACGGCGAGUGAAGCGGCAACAGCUCAAAUUUGAAAUCUGGCGCAAGCCCGAGUUGUAAUUUGUAGAGGAUGCUUCUGGGCAGCGGCCGUUCUAAGUUCCUUGGAACAGGACGUCAUAGAGGGUGAGAAUCCCGUAUGUGACCGGCGCGCACCCUCCACGUAGCUCCUUCGACGAGUCGAGUUGUUUGGGAAUGCAGCUCUAAAUGGGAGGUAAAUUUCUUCUAAAGCUAAAUACCGGCCAGAGACCGAUAGCGCACAAGUAGAGUGAUCGAAAGAUGAAAAGCACUUUGGAAAGAGAGUUAAAAAGCACGUGAAAUUGUUGAAAGGGAAGCGCUCACAACCAGACUUCGCGGCGGUGUUCCGCCGGUCUUCUGACCGGUCCACUCGCCGCCGCGAGGCCAACAUCAUCUGGGGCCGCCGGAUAAGACCGUAGGAAUGUAGCUCCCCUCGGGGAGUGUUAUAGCCUGCGGUGAUGCGGCGAGCCUCGGGUGAGGUCCGCACUUCGGUAAGGAUGUUGGCGUAAUGGUUGUCAGCGGCCCGUCUUGAAACACGGACCAAGGAGUCUAACAUCUAUGCGAGUGUUCGGGUGUCAAACCCCUACGCGUAAUGAAAGUGAACGGAGGUGGGAACGCAAGUGCACCAUCGACCGAUCCUGAUGUCCUCGGAUGGAUUUGAGUAAGAGCAUAGCUGUUGGGACCCGAAAGAUGGUGAACUAUGCCUGAAUAGGGUGAAGCCAGAGGAAACUCUGGUGGAGGCUCGCAGCGGUUCUGACGUGCAAAUCGAUCGUCAAAUUUGGGUAUAGGGGCGAAAGACUAAUCGAACCAUUAAUCAGCACUUACUAGGUGGUUGAGAGGGCGCUCAAAGUGUAGCCCUAGUCGGCGAGGCUCGCCGGCGAGACUGUCAAAUUGCGGGGACUCCCUAAAGCCUAUACUACCGCAGCUCGUCGAAAGACCGAGUGCGCACCGGGGUAAUGACCCAGGGGAUGGUAACAACGUAUAGGAUACUGGCCCGGGCCGGGUCAAACAUGGGUAAUCCGCAGCCAAGUCCUAAGUCGCGGGUCGAUCGCGAUACGGAUGCAGUUCAGAGACUUAACGGUGGUCGGUCGGUCCAAUCCGGCUUAAGAUAAAGUCCAAUCCCGCGCCGAAAGGCCGGGAAUCACCUCUCCGCGAGGAGG